UGGGGAAUAUUGGACAAUGGGCGAAAGCCUGAUCCAGCCAUGCCGCGUGUGUGAAGAAGGUCUUCGGAUUGUAAAGCACUUUAAGUUGGGAGGAAGGGCAUUAACCCAAUACGUUAGUGUUUUGACGUUACCGACAGAAUAAGCACCGGCUAACUCUGUGCCAGCAGCCGCGGUAAUACAGAGGGUGCAAGCGUUAAUCGGAAUUACUGGGCGUAAAGCGCGCGUGGGUGGUUUGUUAAGUUGGAUGUGAAAUCCCCGGGCUCAACCUGGGAACUGCAUUCAAAACUGACUGACUAGAGUAUGGUAGAGGGUGGUGGAAUUUCCUGUGUAGCGGUGAAAUGCGUAGAUAUAGGAAGGAACACCAGUGGCGAAGGCGACCACCUGGACUAAUACUGACACUGAGGUGCGAAAGCGUGGGGAGCAAACA
rnacentral:rRNA from 1 species